rnacentral:rRNA from 1 species
GAUGAACGCUGGCGGCGUGCUUAACACAUGCAAGUCGAGCGAAGCGGUUUAAGUGAAGUUUUCGGAUGGAUCUUGGAUUGACUGAGCGGCGGACGGGUGAGUAACGCGUGGAUAACCUGCCUCACACAGGGGGAUAACAGUUAGAAAUGACUGCUAAUACCGCAUAAGCGCACGGCAUCGCAUGAUGCAGUGUGAAAAACUCCGGUGGUGUGAGAUGGAUCCGCGUCUGAUUAGGUAGUUGGUGGGGUAACGGCCCACCAAGCCGACGAUCAGUAGCCGACCUGAGAGGGUGACCGGCCACAUUGGGACUGAGACACGGCCCAGACUCCUACGGGAGGCAGCAGUGGGGAAUAUUGCACAAUGGAGGAAACUCUGAUGCAGCGACGCCGCGUGAAGGAUGAAGUAUUUCGGUAUGUAAACUUCUAUCAGC